AGUAGCGUGGCUCAGUGGAAAGAGCACGGGCUUGUGAAUCAGAAGUCAUGGGUUCGAAUCCCGGCUCUGCCA
rnacentral:tRNA from 1 species